rnacentral:rRNA from 1 species
UACGGGAGGCAGCAGUGGGGAAUAUUGCACAAUGGGCGCAAGCCUGAUGCAGCCAUGCCGCGUGUAUGAAGAAGGCCUUCGGGUUGUAAAGUACUUUCAGUCGUGAGGAAGGUGUUAAGGUUAAUAACCUUAGCAAUUGACGUUAGCGACAGAAGAAGCACCGGCUAACUCCGUGCCAGCAGCCGCGGUAAUACGGAGGGUGCGAGCGUUAAUCGGAAUUACUGGGCGUAAAGGGCACGCAGGCGGUUAAUUAAGUUGGAUGUGAAAUCCCCGGGCUUAACCUGGGAAUGGCAUUCAAGACUGGUUAGCUAGAGUCUUGUAGAGGGGGUAGAAUUCCAUGUGUAGCGGUGAAAUGCGUAGAGAUGUGGAGGAAUACCGGUGGCGAAGGCGGCCCCUGGGACAAAGACUGACGCUCA